UAGGGAAUCUUCGGCAAUGGGGGCAACCCUGACCGAGCAACGCCGCGUGAGUGAAGAAGGUUUUCGGAUCGUAAAGCUCUGUUGUAAGAGAAGAACGUGUGUGAGAGUGGAAAGUUCACACAGUGACGGCAACUUACCAGAAAGGGACGGCUAACUACGUGCCAGCAGCCGCGGUAAUACGUAGGUCCCGAGCGUUGUCCGGAUUUAUUGGGCGUAAAGCGAGCGCAGGCGGUUUAAUAAGUCUGAAGUUAAAGGCAGUGGCUUAACCAUUGUUCGCUUUGGAAACUGUUAAACUUGAGUGCAGAAGGAGAGAGUGAAUUCCAUGUGUAGCGGUGAAAUGCGUAGAUAUAUGGAGGAACACCGGUGGCGAAAGCGGCUCUCUGGUCUGUAACUGACGCUGAGGCUCGAAAGCGUGGGGAGCAAACAGG
rnacentral:rRNA from 1 species